rnacentral:rRNA from 1 species
UACGUAGGGGCAAGCGUUGUCCGGAUUCAUUGGGCGUAAAGAGCGUGUAGGCGGCCAGGUAGGUCGGUUGUGAAAACUGGAGGCUCAACCUUCAGAGGUCGACCGAAACCAUCUGGCUAGAGUCCGGGAGAGGAGAGUGGAAUUCCUGGUGUAGCGGUGAAAUGCGUAGAUAUUGGGAGGAACACCAGUGGCGAAGGCGGCUCACUGGACCGGUUCUGACGCUGAGGCGCGAAAGCGUGGGGAGCAAACGGG